GGAGCAUAAAGAUUCUCCACCCUGCAAGCCAUCACCUCUUACAGGAAGUAAAGUAGAAGACUGUUUUUCUGGAUCAUCAUCUGAAGAUGGGGACUCCAAGGGAUUUGAAGAAGAUCAUACUGAACAAGAUGCCUUACAUCGAGAAACUGCAACAGCUGAUAGAUCCACUUUCAUGCUUUAUCCAACUAAAAGGUUCUGCAAUCAUGAAGGCAAAGGUGUUUGCAAAUUUGUCCCCACCUCACCCUAUCCAAAAGGCAUAACUUCUUUAACAUAUUAAAUUAUUAAUACUUUGCACUCUUAUCAUCUCUGCUAUACAUAUUUUUGUUAUCAUAUUUCCUUCUUAACGUGUUCUUUUCUCUGUGCAAGAAAUCAUUAGGCACUGGUGAAAGUGGCUGGGACUUAGAGCCUUCAGAACAGUACCAAGAGAAUGAUUUGGAAAGUGUUUAUUUUCUAUGUUUAAAAUGAUAAAUAAGAAAUUUCAGAUUGGAUCCAGAAUGUUCUUCUAUUAUUACAUUUUAUUGUGUGCUUCA